UACGUAGGGUGCAGGCGUUAUCCGGAAUUAUUGGGCGUAAAGAGCUCGUAGGCGGUUUGUCACGUCUGCUGUGAAAACUGGAGGCUCAACCUCCAGCCUGCAGUGGGUACGGGCAGACUAGAGUGCGGUAGGGGAGAUUGGAAUUCCUGGUGUAGCGGUGGAAUGCGCAGAUAUCAGGAGGAACACCGAUGGCGAAGGCAGAUCUCUGGGCCGUAACUGACGCUGAGGAGCGAAAGCAUGGGGAGCGAACAGG
rnacentral:rRNA from 1 species